UGCAGGCAGGGCUGGUGCCCGACCCGCUUUCAUACGGCGGGGAGCCCGGAUCGUUCCCGGGGUCUGCAA
rnacentral:tRNA from 1 species